UACGAAGGGUGCAAACGUUGCUCGGAAUCAUUGGGCGUAAGCGCACGUAGGCAGCCUGUUAAGUCGGAUGUGAAAUCCCUCGGCUCAACCGAGGACGUGCAUUCGAAACUGGCAAGCUCGAGUAUGGAAGAGGGUCGCGGAAUUCCCGGUGUAGAGGUGAAAUUCGUAGAUAUCGGGAGGAACACCAGUGGCGAAGGCGGCGACCUGGGCCAAUACUGACGCUGAGGUGCGAAAGCGUGGGGAGCAAACAGGG
rnacentral:rRNA from 1 species